rnacentral:rRNA from 1 species
UACGGGGGGGGCAAGCGUUGUUCGGAAUUACUGGGCGUAAAGGGCGCGUAGGCCGCUUGUUAAGUCGGGUGUGAAAACUCUGGGCUCAACCCAGAGCCUGCACUCGAAACUGAUGAGCUAGAGUUCUGGAGGGGAAAGCGGAAUUCCUGGUGUAGCAGUGAAAUGCGUAGAUAUCAGGAGGAACACCGGUGGCGAAGGCGGCUUUCUGGACAGAAACUGACGCUGAGGCGCGAAAGCUAGGGGAGCAAACAGG